rnacentral:rRNA from 1 species
GGAUUAGAUACCCUGGUAGUCCACGCUGUAAACGAUGGUCACUAGCUGUUUGGACUUUGGUCUGAGUGGCUAAGCGAAAGUGAUAAGUGACCCACCUGGGGAGUACGAUCGCAAGAUUGAAACUCAAAGGAAUUGACGGGGGCCCGCACAAGCGGUGGAGCAUGUGGUUUAAUUCGAUGAUACGCGAGGAACCUUACCAGGGCUUAAAUGUGGAUUGACAGGGGCAGAGACGCCUUUUUCUUCGGACAAUUCACAAGGUGCUGCAUGGUUGUCGUCAGCUCGUGUUG